AUACCAAAAACUAAACGUUCCACAUUCCGUUGGGUUCCUGCUUCAGUGUUCUCGCGAUACGUGUUUUGCAAAAACAGCUGACUGACAUAUCUGGAUUUACGUGGUAGAACUAGGGAUCCUGUAUUUAUUUUUGCCCAAGGAAGCUAAUUUAGCUAGAGUUCAUUUUACACCACUUCAUAACACGCGUGUCGUGCAGAGGGAAAAUAUGGCAGACACUGAUCCAAAGUCAGUUCAGGACCUUACCAAUGUGGUCCAGACGCUGCUGCAACAGAUGCAGGAUAAAUUCCAGACCAUGUCAGACCAGAUCAUCGGAAGAAUUGAUGAGAUGAGCACCCGCAUCGAUGACCUGGAGAAGAACAUUGCUGACCUCAUGACCCAGGCAGGCGUGGAGGAGAUCGAGGGGGUCAAGGAACCACAAGUCAAAGAAGGACAAGGGUCAUGAAGCCAAACUUGAUGAACAAAACGGAGCUAUUUCGUCUACGCAAAUAAUCUUUUUGGAAAAAAUGAACAUUUGCUAUCGAACUAAGAGUCUCUCAUCAUUGAAAACAUCCGAAGUUCUUCAAAGGUUGCCAGACGACAAGCUGUCAAGGACUUUCUUCAGGAGCAGCAUACUCUUCCACUAUAACCAUGAACUAUUUUGAUUGUGUGUUGUGAAAUGCUUUUUUAUAUUGACUAUUGUAAUAAAAGUAACAGUUCUAAUGUA